rnacentral:rRNA from 1 species
GAUGAACGCUGACAGAAUGCUUAACACAUGCAAGUCUUUGGCGAAGCUGUGCUUGCACAGCCUAGCCAAGGCGGACGGGUGAGUAACGCGUAAGGAACUUGCCCUGCAGUCAGGGAUAACAGACGGAAACGACUGAUAAGACCUGGUAAAGUCAGGCGGACUCAUGUCCAGCCUGAUGAAAAGUGAUGCUGCAGGAGAGCCUUGCGUCCUAUUAGCUUGUUGGUGGGGUAACGGCCCACCAAGGCGAUGAUAGGUAGCCGGCCUGAGAGGGUGGACGGCCACAAGGGGACUGAGAUACGGCCCUUACUCCUACGGGAGGCGGCAGUGGGGAAUAUUGGACAAUGGGGGCAACCCUGAUCCAGCAAUUCUGUGUGCACGAUGAAGGUUUUCGGAUUGUAAAGUGCUUUCAGCAGGGAAGAAAAAAAUGACGGUACCUGCAGAAGAAGCGACGGCUAAAUACGUG